UGUUAAAAUUUUCAUCCAUUAUACUGUUAAAACUGACAUUAUUGAUGAAAUAACCGGACACUGACAUAUGGUGUGCCACAUAUACAAUAUGUUGACAUAUUGAGACCCAUUUUUAAAAGUAAAAAUGGAUAAAAUAUUUUACA
rfam:Gossypium hirsutum cultivar TM-1 chromosome 10, whole genome shotgun sequence